rnacentral:lncRNA from 1 species
AAAAUGAAGGAACUGGCGAACCUUUAAUGGAGUAAAUUUUUUUUUCAUUGUAUUAACAAAAAUUUCAAGCAUUGAAUUACAGAGAGAAAGCACCAACCAAUCUUGAAGACAGAAAACUGAGAACGAGCACACGUGACCGGAAACCUCGUCAUUCGACUCAAAGUGCAAUAACUUGUCAACUACGAGCAUGAAUUUGGAUUAAUUUUGAUUAUUCAAAACUUUGGUUGAAUAGCCAUUCGAGAUAGUACAUCAAAGGGGAAAGCAGAGAUUGAAAGGAUUAAAUCCAAAAGGAAAAGAGAGGGCCUGCCGUUGUUCCAAUUCUUUGAAGCUCGUUUGUGUAUAAGUGUCUUUCUUUUUUAGAAAUCUACACUUUUGGAGUAUUUAAUUUCUGAGGUGGGAAUGGUAGAUUCUUUCUGUUGGGUGUGCGUCGCUAAUUAUUGAUGGUAUGCGGCUGAGGUGUGUAGAUUUAGUGGGGUGGAGUUGGUUUGUGGCGAGAUGGAUAGUGGCUGCCGAUUUUUAGUUUCUUUUAGA